UACGGAGGGUGCAAGCGUUGUCCGGAUUUAUUGGGUUUAAAGGGUGCGUAGGCGGCAGAUUAAGUCAGCGGUGAAAUUCCACAGCUCAACUGUGGAACUGCCAUUGAUACUGGUUUGCUUGAGUACAGAUGAGGUAGGCGGAAUUGACAGUGUAGCGGUGAAAUGCGUAGAUAUCUGGAGGAACACCGGUGGCGAAGGCGGCAUCCUGGACCGGUAUUGACGCUGAGGCGCGGAAAGCCAGGGG
rnacentral:rRNA from 1 species